GGGGGGGCAAGCGUUGUUCGGAAUUACUGGGCGUAAAGGGCUCGUAGGUGGCCAACUAAGUCGGACGUGAAAUCCCUCAGCUUAACUGGGGAACUGCGUCCGAUACUGGAUGGCUUGAGUUUGGGAGAGGGAUGCGGAAUUCCAGGUGUAGCGGUGAAAUGCGUAGAUAUCUGGAGGAACACCGGUGGCGAAGGCGGCAUCCUGGACCAACACUGACACUGAGGAGCGAAAGCCAGGGGAGCAAACGGGAUUAGAUACCCCGGUAGUCCUGGCCCUAAACGAUGAAUGCUUGGUGUGGCGGGUAUCGAUCCCUGCCGUGCCGAAGCUAACGCAUUAAGCAUUCCGCCUGGGGAGUACGGUCGCAAGG
rnacentral:rRNA from 1 species